rnacentral:rRNA from 1 species
UACGUAGGGGCCUAGCGUUGUCCGGAUUCAUUGGGCGUAAAGAGCGUGUAGGCGGCCAGGUAGGUCGGUUGUGAAAACUGGAGGCUCAACCUUCAGACGUCGACCGAAACCAUCUGGCUAGAGUCCGGGAGAGGAGAGUGGAAUUCCUGGUGUAGCGGUGAAAUGCGUAGAUAUCUGGAGGAACACCGGUGGCGAAGGCGGCAUCCUGGACCAAUUCUGACGCUGAGGAGCGAAAGCCAGGGGAGCAAACGGG